rnacentral:lncRNA from 1 species
UGCGCGGUUUGGUGGGAGAAAACUCUAGAACCUCGCGCCCCUCUCUCUCUCUCUCUCUCUCUCUCGCUCUAUACACUUCGCGCCCCUCUCUCUCUCUCUCUCUCGCUCUAUACACUUGAAGAGUGAACCGAAACAGUUCAGCUGGCAUUCAUCGCCUCCCUCCGCCUGCGUGCUCUGCGCCUGCCAGUCUCUCUCUCUAUCUCCCAAGGGGUGCUCUGAGGUAGGUCGAAUCUCUCCUCUCUCCUCUUCUCGAUGCUUCGAAACUGUGCGAGAAUCCUCGUUCGCGAUGCGAGACUAGCCCGUCGCUGUUCUGUCGUUUUCGUGUGGUCUGAAGCCGCUCGACCGGAGAUGGAGCCGUUGAUCUCCCGCCGGAGCUGGGUUGCCGACGGGAGCGCGAUCGUCGGAUCGUUCGCUCUUUCGGACCUUUCCUGUUUCGGCUUUGUUCUGUGGACAUCGUCGAUCCUCUAGAGAGAGAGAGAGAGAGAGCUCUGUGCAAGAUGAUCUCUGUUGUGCAGCUUGUUCAUGAUUCUUUAGUGUUUUCCAAAGUGAAUGCGGUGAAGCGUAUGACGGAAACCGUCACCGCAAGGGGCGAUCGAGUUACGCUCGUGCUCGAUAUGUUUCGUUUGCCACUGUAUCGAUCGCGUCGGGUGUUUUUCGAAGUGCGACUCGGCCGGCGAGAGCAUUGCCGACGCCGACCGCGGACUUAGUUUCUCGUUCGUCGCCUUUUGUGGUUG